AUUGAAUGAAAUCCUCCUUGUCUACCAUGAGAGUGGUCAUAGAAUAAAAAUUCCAGAUAGGCUAAUCAUAGCACAAACAUUUACUGAGGUUCCAAGCUGGGACAUCUGGGAGAACAACUAUGGAGCAAAAUGCUAAAAAGAAAAGGUGCAUUCAUCCUAACUGGGAGAGCUUUCACCCCGGAGUGGCCAGGGGAAGUGCUGUCUUCAUUUGGCCAGCAAUAAUUAAUGGAAGGAAUUCCCAGCAAGUCCACUCUUGGACUUGAAGGCUUCUUUCAGACAGCAGGCAGAAAACCUGGCUUUAAAAGAGGAGCUCAGGCAGGAAGCAGCAAUGUUCCAGGAGGAUUUCUGAGUCAAGCAGGAGAGCAACUGGCUUCUUGAUGUGUAAAUUUCAAAGAUCCCUAAAACCCUUGGCUGCACAGCCAG
rnacentral:lncRNA from 1 species